AGCUCAAAGGACUUGACUCUCAUCUCGAGUGUGCUAAUGAAGUUCCCUUGUGCGACAAAUGGGGCAGAUCAGUUCUGUUUGGAAGAAUGAAAAUGACAGCUAAGUGGUGUGAUCUAACUGACACAGGGAAAGAAGCUGAAAUUGACCACUCAGGAAAUGAGGCCCUGCAGGAGCAGCCAAAGAUGUAACAGAAGAAUCCAUAACAGAAGAUGACAAGAGGAGAAACUAUGGAGGAGUAUAUGUUGGCCUACCAUCUGAAGCUGUCAAUAUGGUGUCCAGUCAAACAAAGAUGGUUCGGAAAAAUUAGAAGAAAAUAACAUCAUGACUCAAGAAUCAAGAGCUUGCUCAUCAGUUUGGAAGGAAUUUGGCUCCGUGGGACAUUGUAAUGUGCACAGACAUUUCCAAGGAAAUUCUAAACAGUCACCCUUCCCUUUUGCAUUCCCCCAAAUCUUAAGUGUAUACAUAAAACCCUGGGUACAUAUUGUUGUGGUAAUAGAAGGGAAUUGGUUAAACAGUACACUUGUUUAUGGAACUUUCUGUGGCCACCUACGAAAGACAAGUUAACAAACUGUCAUGGAGGCUGUUGUUGCCCAGCCAGGGCCGCUGCAUUUUGACAACAUUUCCACCCUGGCCACUCAGCACAUUUCAUGGAGGUCAUGUCUUUUCACUGAUACUUUUUUGAUAGUUUUUAUAUAACAAAAUCCUUAUUCUAUUUAUAACUUAGGAUGAUAAGGCACUAUAAAUUAAUGACCUAAAAUAAUAUAUUUGUCUGUUAACUUUCGCUAUUUCUACUUCACUUUAAUUUUUAGCUGUAAAAUUGGUAAAUGGAUUCUUACAACUAUCUCUUUCCAUUUUUUACUAUUUGGUUUUCAAAUUUCAUUUAAAUG
rnacentral:sRNA from 1 species